rnacentral:lncRNA from 10 species
AGGCAUGAUGGACCUCUGAAUGACAGGUUCCCAUCUGACCAAAAAGCCUCCAAUUUCAGCUUUGAGUUAUUUCAGACUUUUCAGAUGGAAGUCAUUUUAUAUCUGUGGUUUCAAACCUGACCAGUCAUCUAAAUCACUUGAGUAUUUAAAACAAAAAACAUAACACGCGCCCUGGACCUGCUGAAUCCCAAUCCAGAGAUGCGCUCGGUGAUGUGUAUUUUUAAACGCCUUCACAGAUGACUGUGAUGGGCUUUCAGCCCUGGGAACCACUGAGCAUCAUCUGCUUUGCUGAAAAGAUCCAGAGACUUCAUCAGGCACCAUAGCAGAGACACAGCAAGGCCCCGACUGACAAAUCCUCUAGGAGAAACACUCCUAUUAAAAAUGUUGUAGCCUUGGCCGGGCUCAGUGGUUCAUGCCUGUAAACCCAGCACGUUGGGAGGCCGAGGUGGGAGGAUCACCUGAGGUCAGGAGUUCGAGACCAGCCUGGCCAACAUAGUGAAACCCCGUCUCUACUAAACAUACAAAAAUUAGCCUGGUGUGGUGGCAGGCGCCUGUAGUCCCAGCUACUUGGAAGCCUGAGGCAGGAGAAUCGCUUGAACCCGGGAGAAGGAGGUUGCAGUGAGCCAAGAUUACAACACUCCAGCCUGGGUGACAGAGCAAGACUCAAAUUAAAUAAAUAAAUAAAUAAAUAAAUAAAUGUAGCCGCGGGGGGACGGGGAGGAAGUUGUUUAUUUCCUCAUGGCUGGGAUAAUGGCAGUAGUGGAGGUAGAAGCUUCUUGGGUGCAGCCUAUUUUAGGCAGGCCGAGCCCAGUCCAUGGAACAGGAAACAGUAUCUGCAGGUGGGGGACCAACAUGAGAGAGGACCACGGGUCUCGAGUUGGCCUGAGGGUGUGGGUAAGGAGGAAAUGCACAGUGGGUAACCCGCCCGCCCCUACACACAUUCUGUUUUUUUACUUCUGGCUUUUCUGGCAGUCAGUGAACUCUCUUAAUCUUAAGGCAUGGCGUGUAAUAGCAGAGCAAACCUGUGUUGCAAAGGGACAACCUGAAAGAGCAUGACUGAAGGGGAAAUAAAACUCACCCGGUCCUUCUGGAUUUCAGUUUAAUCACUGGGUGUGC